rnacentral:rRNA from 1 species
GACGAACGCUGGCGGCGUGCCUAAUACAUGCAAGUCGACCUUAGUGGCGAACGGGUGAGUAACACGUGGGUAACCUGCCCAUCAGAAGGGGAUAACACUUGGAAACAGGUGCUAAUACCGUAUACUGAUGGAUGGAACCGCUGUGCAUUAGCUCGUUGGUGAGGUAACGGCUCACCAAGGCAACGAUGCAUAGCCGACCUGAGAGGGUGAUCGGCCACAUUGGGACUGAGACACGGCCCAGACGCCUACGUGAGGCAGCAGUGGGGAAUUUUCGGCAAUGGGCGAAAGUCUGACCGAGCAACGCCGCGUGAAUGAAGAAGGUUUUCGGAUCGUAAAGCUCUUUUGUGAGAGAAGCGGUAUCUAACCAAAAAGCCACGGCUAACUACGUGCCAGCCGCCGCGGUAAUAC